rnacentral:pre_miRNA from 1 species
GGGGGGAGGCCGGAUCCUGGGCUGUGUCCCGGCGCCCUGUGCUCCGGGGCCUGCGCUGUUGGAUUCGCGCUCCCGGGCCGCGCAGCCCCCU